rnacentral:misc_RNA from 1 species
AAAGUCGUAACAAGGUUUCCGUAGGUGAACCUGCGGAAGGAUCAUUAAGAAAUUUUUCAGAAUUUCGUAUUCAAAACACCUGCUGUGUACCUGUUCUCGUUGCUUCCGUGGGCAGCAGGCCUUGUGCUUGCGAUCGCUAUCAUGGUGGACCCACGGGAGGUAAUCAUAAACUCCGUCUUCAUGUGAUAUUGGUCUGAGAUUAUUCAAUCAAUAAAUAUCAAAACUUUCAACAACGGAUCUCUUGGUUCUC